rfam:Burkholderia sp. SRS-W-2-2016 contig49464, whole genome shotgun sequence.
AGUUCUGAUGCACCACGAAUUUGCAGGUGGAGAACGAGGAGACAAUUGAGGCACUCAGUGCCCAGACGAAAGCGCUGUUGGAUUGAUAUCCAACAGCGCUUUUUA